rnacentral:rRNA from 1 species
GCCUAUAUCGGUGGUGUCCACCUCUUCCCAUUCCGAACAGAGAAGUUAAGCCCACCAGAGCCGAUGGUACUGCGGUAACACGUGGGAGAGUAGGUCGGUGCCAAAU